AACCAAGUAGCCAAUAAACGCUUAGCUAGCUGUGUUAUCAACAACAACGAAUGCUCGACAUUAUAUCAGUAAUAUUCAAUGUUAUUUAAAAAGGUGAAUGUCUAACAGGCUAAAUCCACAAGCGAACUUUACUUAGCACUGUACAUUAGCUGAUAUAAACACGGGCUAGCCAAAUACCGGGUAGGAUUGUUUGGCUGCUCACACUAGCUAGCAUGUAGCAUAUACGCUAACAUUUAGAUUACUUAUUUUGUUCGAAAAAGCAGGAAACGAAAGAUUGGACAUCAGCAGCUGUUCUUGAUACAACAUGAUGGAGUCGUCCACUAAAGGAAAAGCCAAGCGAAGGCACCUGAACUCAGAGGAGUGUCGUGAAAUUAGUAGGAGACCAGAGGGCAGCCAACCCCUCACACAGCCCCACUCCGUCACUCGUAGGCACAGCAACUCAGACACCUACCGGGGUUUGUACCCCAGAACACCCACAAAGAGAAAGAGAGAUGCACGUGAUGACAAGAAGCAGCAAGGGAUCACUAAGUUUUUCCCUGUGAUCAGUGUGGUCAAGGUGUUAAGUCCUCAGAAAGCAGCCCUGUCCCAGGGCUCAGGUUCCGUAAAGACAGAGGGACUCAAUGGAGAGCUCAUCCCCAAAAUUGAGACCAUUGAGGAGAAGGCACUAGCCACCUCUAUGAAGGAGGAACCUGAGGAUGAGAAGGUGGACUAUCUGGAGGGGCUGACAACAGACAUGUUUGGGGACGACAAGGAGUUUGAGCGCUGUUGGUCAGAUCCAGACCCAGCCUUAAUGAAUCAUCAUGAGGAGGAGGAGGUGGAGGCCCUGCCUGACGCCCUCUACGGCCUCUUGGGAAGCAGCAGGGGCCUGGCCCAUCCCCAGGGUCACGUGGACGACCUCCCAGAGGAGGUGCUGAUGCUGGUGUUGAGCCUCCUGCCUGCUGAGGACCUCUACUGUAACGUCAGCCUGGUCUGCCAACGCUGGAGGAACAUUGUGACCCAGUCACUGUUUGUGCCCUGGAAGAAGCUGUAUUACCGCUACACGAAGAAGGAGAUCAACGCCGUGAAGGAGAUCAACGCCAUCCUGGAAACCCAUAGAAUCAUAAAGGACGACCAGGAGAGCAUCCUCCAUAUAGUCGAGUUCAUGGCCCAGUAUAAGCCCAGUCAGAAGGUGAAGCCUGAGUCAGUGUUACAGAGUGUGAGGACACAUUGUCUGUUCCCUCAGGCUGAGGCCUGCAUUAAACACCGACUCCCCAAAUUGGAGGGUAUCGAGGGGGGCCCUAACCCGUGGGCAGCCAUGGCCCUGAUGCUGGUGCUGUGUGACGGUGUGGGAGAUGUUCUGGACCUGGUGGUCUGUCUCAGAGGCUGUCUCCCUUCAGCCAGCGCCAUCACGGAGUACCUCAGCGCCAUGGCAACCAUGCUGCUCGCCAUGAGGAGGAACGAUAUCAACAUCAGCAACAGGUGGCACUACAACAUCUUCUAUGUCCUUCACCUGAUGGAGAAUGCCUUGCCCACAGCAAUAACCAAUCAGAGUGGGAGAGCCCAGGUUCAGGUGACCCACGAACAGCAGCAGAUCCUCAACCACGACAUCCAUAGAGACCACGUGGUCAAGAUCAUGGCCUUCGCAGGCACAGGGAAGACCACCACCCUGAUUCGGUAUGCCCAGCAGAGGCCACACCACCACUUCCUCUACAUGGCCUUCAACAAGUCUGUGGCUACCCAGGCCCAGCGCUGUUUCCCCAGCAAUGUGGACUGCAGGACGGUCCACUCCAUGGCCUUUGGGGCCGUCGGAAAGAGGUACCAGGAGCUAAAGAAGUUGUCUAGUAACGUGAAGCCCUUCUCUGUGGCCUGGGUGCUGCCUAAGGGCAGCGGGGGCUUUGUCAACGCCAAGGUGGUCACCCUGACCCUCAAUGCCUACAUGGCCUCGGCCGACACACACAUCACCCCCAACCACGUCCCAAACACGUACAAAAACACACAUGGCAAAAUGACCGUGCCUGACUGCAAUGCAAAAAGGAUGUUUGCGAGGGAUGCCCAGAGGAUCUGGGACAAAAUGGUUGCCUUAGAAGAGACCAGGGAGUACGCACACCACAUGACCCACGAUGGGUAUCUGAAGCUGUGGCAGCUGCAGAGGCCGACACUGGACAAGUAUGAUGUCAUCUUUAUAGACGAGGCACAGGACUGUACUCCAGCCAUCAUGGACAUCAUGCUACCUCAGCACUGUGGGAAGAUCCUGGUGGGAGACCCUCAUCAGCAGAUCUAUACCUUCAGAGGAGCAGUCAAUGCCCUGAACCUGGUGGAACACACACACCUCUACUACCUCACCCAGAGCUUUCGGUUUGGUUCGGAGAUUGCCUAUAUUGGAGCCACGAUUCUCCAAGUGUGUAAGAAAGUGAAGAAGAUUCUGGUAGGAGGAAAACAAGACGGCUGUGUGUGGGGUAAGGCUGUGGACUCGCUGCGUCCCCUGACUACAGGGUUGAGUCCUGGCCGGGGUAAGUUAGCAGUGCUGUCUCGCACUAACGUCUCCGUGUUCGACCAAGCAGUCAGACUCACCGAUGCCAACCCCCGCUGUAGGCUGCACAUCGUAGGGGGGGUGGAGAAUUUUGGGCUGAAAAGAAUCAUGGACAUUUGGGUUCUGAUGCAGCCAGAAAACAACCGCUCUCGAGGCAUCAAGGACAGCUUCAUCCGUAGGUUCACCCAGCAGAGUCUGGGGGGCUACUUUGGACUGAAGAGUUACGCUAAAAAAACAGAGGACCGUGAGUUGGAGGGCAAACUCUCCAUGGUGGAGAAAUACAACAGCCGCAUCCCUGAGCUGGUGGAACGCAUCUACGGCUGCACAGAGAGACAGGCCCAAAACGCAGAUUUUAUCCUGGGGACAGUCCAUAAGUCAAAGGGUCUGGAGUUUGACACGGUGGUGAUCACUGAUGACUUUGCUAAGGUCCCCUGUGCCGCCCACAACUUACCUAGACUUUCCAGCUGCUCAGGAGGUGACGUCCCAGACGAUGAGUGGAACCUGCUGUAUGUGGCGGUGACUCGGGCCAAGAGCUCUCUGGUCAUCACCAAGAACAUCACCAACAUCCUCACACUGGCUGGGGUGAGAGCACUGAUCACUGGAGGCUGGAGUACUUCCUGAGGACAGAGUUGACCAGCGCCCUGCUGACCGAGGGCCAGCCCCCAUGCUGCUCCGUGCGGGAGUGUCAUAACCACAUCACGCCCGUCUGGCCCCUCGCCAUGUGCAAGCUGCCACUCCAAUACAUGGAUAGUGCAGACGAUGGAGGUCCUAUGUGUGGGGCGUGUGUGUUGCAGCGUGUCGGCCCCACGGCCAGUCUCCUAGCCUCCCCAGAACUGCUCAAGGUCCUGCCAGUGACCGAGGAGCGCCUGAACCUGCCCAUCAACUACGCUUUACUGAUGGCUCUCUUCUGAGGGGACACGCUCACGUACACAUGCAAACUCAACAUGCUGCUUGAACUGUUCUGAAAACACACCCACACAACAUGAGAGAUGGACCUCUCCACUGAUGUUGUCUUGGGGGAAAAAUCAGUCUGCGUAAUAGGCAUUUGAACUAUCCAAUUAUGGACCAGAAGGUAACAGUGUGGGGCAGAGUUAUUACUCAGCCAAUCUCCUAGCACCUAGAGACACUGACAACGUGGUACCCUUGAUGAUGAUUGGCCUAGAGCUGCCCCCCAUGAUCUCUGUUAGUCUAAAGGUGUGUUCCUUGCUGAUUUGGAUAAAUGUUUGGGGCAGAAUGGCAUUAUUGUGAUAUUGAUAUGUCUUGCUUUUUAGUGUGGUUAUAUUUUGCAGCAAAGAAAAUGCACAACUUCAGUCCUGUCUUUAAUUACGUGUCAUUUUCUACUUAACAUAUAAAACAGAUUUUAAAAAGUAAUGUCUUUUAAAAUGAUAACAAAAGAAACAUUUGUCUUCAGUUUGAGUACUUUGAGGUUAACAACAUAAGCAUCAUCAUAAGUCAUGUCCAUUGUUUCCAUAAAGACACAGUUGCUAAUACUCUAAUGGAAACGGUAAAGACAAGUUUUUGUGGUUAAUUUGGAAUGCUAUAUAAAGUGCAAACUGCCAUAUGGGAUGAGACCUGUGUCUGUGUUCAAAACUGCAAUGUUUCAUGUCUACAUUUUUUUUCCCUGUGUUUGUAUCAGAUUGUACAACAGCUGAUAUUUUACAGUUAAAAUUUUUACAAGUGGCAAUUCUUUAAAGUCGGUGUUAUUUCCUGGCCCUCUAUGUUAACAUGGAUCGUACUGGGGUACGGAUUUAAAAAUUCCUCAAUCUGCCAUUGGCACCCAUUCAAAUGAUCCCUAAGGUUGCCUAGUCCAAUCUUGUUCAUUCUCUAAAUUAAAUGCCAUGUUUUCUCAUUA